rnacentral:rRNA from 1 species
UACGAAGGGGGCUAGCGUUGCUCGGAAUCACUGGGCGUAAAGCGCACGUAGGCGGAUGUGUCAGUCAGGGGUGAAAUCCCGGAGCUCAACUUCGGAACUGCCCUUGAUACAGCACGUCUUGAGUCCGGAAGAGGUGGGUGGAAUUCCUAGUGUAGAGGUGAAAUUCGUAGAUAUUAGGAAGAACACCGGUGGCGAAGGCGGCCCACUGGUCCGGUACUGACGCUGAGGUGCGAAAGCGUGGGGAGCAAACAGG